UCCCUGAUAGCUCAGAGAGUAAAGCAUCUGCUUGCAAUGCAGGAGACCCAAGUUCAAUCCCUGGGUUGGGAA
rfam:TPA: Bos taurus chromosome 1, whole genome shotgun sequence.